rnacentral:rRNA from 1 species
AGACGGAGGGUGCUAGCGUUGUUCGGAAUGACUGGGCGUAAAGGGCGCGUAGGCGGUUUUGUUAGUCAGGCGUGAAAGCCCUGGGCUCAACCCAGGAACUGCGUUUGAUACUGCAAAACUCGAGGACGGAAGAGGAAAGUGGAAUUCCUAGUGUAGAGGUGAAAUUCGUAGAUAUUAGGAGGAACACCAGAGGCGAAGGCGGCUUUCUGGUCCGUUACUGACGCUGAGGCGCGAAAGCGUGGGGAGCAAACAGGAUUAGAAACCCUAGUAGUCC